rnacentral:rRNA from 1 species
AUUGAACGCUGGCGGCAUGCUUUACACAUGCAAGUCGAACGGUAACAGGUUAAGCUGACGAGUGGCGAACGGGUGAGUAAUGCAUCGGAACGUGCCCGGUCGUGGGGGAUAACGCAGCGAAAGCUGCGCUAAUACCGCCUACGAUCUGAGGAUGAAAGCGGGGGACCGUAAGGCCUCGCGCGACCGGAGCGGCCGAUGUCAGAUUAGGUAGUUGGUGGGGUAAAGGCUCACCAAGCCGACGAUCUGUAGCUGGUCUGAGAGGACGACCAUCCACACUGGGACUGAGACACGGCCCAGACUCCUACGGGAGGCAGCAGUGGGGAAUUUUGGACAAUGGGCGAAAGCCUGAUCCAGCAAUGCCGCGUGCAGGAAGAAGGCCUUCGGGUUGUAAACUGCUUUUGUACGGAGCGAAAAGGCCCUCUCUAAUACAGGGGGCUCAUGACGGUACCGUAAGAAUAAGCACCGGCUAACUACGUGCCAGCCGCCGCCGUAACAC